GAUGAACGCUGGCGGCGUGCUUAACACAUGCAAGUCGAACGGUAAGGCCCUUCGGGGUACACGAGUGGCGAACGGGUGAGUAACACGUGGGUGAUCUGCCCUGCACUUCGGGAUAAGCCUGGGAAACUGGGUCUAAUACCGGAUAGGACCACUGCCUGCAUGGGUGGUGGUGGAAAGCUUUUGCGGUGUGGGAUGGGCCCGCGGCCUAUCAGCUUGUUGGUGGGGUGAUGGCCUACCAAGGCGACGACGGGUAGCCGGCCUGAGAGGGUGACCGGCCACACUGGGACUGAGAUACGGCCCAGACUCCUACGGGAGGCAGCAGUGGGGAAUAUUGCACCAUGGGCGCAAGCCUGAUGCAGCGACGCCGCGUGAGGGAUGACGGCCUUCGGGUUGUAAACCUCUUUCAGCACCGACGAAGCGCAAGUGACGGUAGGUGCAGAAGAAGGACCGGCCAACUACGUGCCAGCAGCCGCGGUAA
rnacentral:rRNA from 1 species